GUAGCAGCCUGCAUUUAAUUGCUGGAACCUGUGUUCUGAGAGACUGCCUUCCAGACUAUCUGCAGAUGUACAGAGCUGAAGCUGUUUAUUUAGUGUGAUACACGGAAACCCAUCAGCACUUCUCAGUGAAGAAGAUUAACAAAUACAGGCUGAACCUGAUUCAACAGACUUUUGCGGAAUGAGAUGUCCUUGUUAUUGCUGACAGCCCAUUCGUUGUGAGCAUGUUUUGCUGUUUCAACAGCAUGCAUCACUUCUGUAUGAUAAUGGAAUAUCUUGAAGGUGGUGACUAUGCACAUCCGCUAUUGGCAUUCUGCUCAUUGAUAUGGCCCAGAUGUACAUCGCCAAAACUGCACUAACUGUGGAACAUCUGCAUACGUAUGGAAUUGUUCAUCGGGGUCUAAAACCUGAUAAUUAUGGCUUCUCUUUUUCAUCUUUAUUUUUGAAACAAAUGUGUAGAGGUGUCACUUCUAUAAGGCACAUAGUUUUGGAAUCAGAAAACCUCCUUUACACCUCACUGGGAAUAAAUGUUUGACUUUUAAAUGUUA